rnacentral:rRNA from 1 species
CCAGGUUAAUAUUCCUGUACUUGGUGUUACUGCGAAGGGGGGACGGAGAAGGCUAUGUUGGCCGGGCGACGGUUGUCCCGGUUUAAGCGUGUAGGCUGGUUUUCCAGGCAAAUCCGGAAAAUCAAGGCUGAGGCGUGAUGACGAGGCACUACGGUGCUGAAGCAACAAAUGCCCUGCUUCCAGGAAAAGCCUCUAAGCAUCAGGUAACAUCAAAUCGUACCCCAAACCGACACAGGUGGUCAGGUAGAGAAUACCAAGGCGCUUGAGAGAACUCGGGUGAAGGAACUAGGCAAAAUGGUGCCGUAACUUCGGGAGAAGGCACGCUGAUAUGUAGGUGAAGCGACUUGCUCGUGGAGCUGAAAUCAGUCGAAGAUACCAGCUGGCUGCAACUGUUUAUUAAAAACACAGCACUGUGCAAACACGAAAGUGGACGUAUACGGUGUGACGCCUGCCCGGUGCCGGAAGGUUAAUUGAUGGGGUCAGCGCAAGCGAAGCUCUUGAUCGAAGCCCCGGUAAACGGGGCCGUAACAAUAACGGUCCUAAGGUAGCGAAAUUCCUUGUCGGGUAAGUUCCGACCUGCACGAAUGGCGUAAUGAUGGCCAGGCUGUCUCCACCCGAGACUCAGUGAAAUUGAACUCGCUGUGAAGAUGCAGUGUACCCGCGGCAAGACGGAAAGACCCCGUGAACCUUUACUAUAGCUUGACACUGAACAUUGAGCCUUGAUGUGUAGGAUAGGUGGGAGGCUUUGAAGUGUGGACGCCAGUCUGCAUGGAGCCGACCUUGAAAUACCACCCUUUAAUGUUUGAUGUUCUAACGUGGACCCGUGAUCCGGGUUGCGGACAGUGUCUGGUGGGUAGUUUGACUGGGGCGGUCUCCUCCUAAAGAGUAACGGAGGAGCACGAAGGUUGGCUAAUCCUGGUCGGACAUCAGGAGGUUAGUGCAAUGGCAUAAGCCAGCUUGACUGCGAGCGUGACGGCGCGAGCAGGUGCGAAAGCAGGUCAUAGUGAUCCGGUGGUUCUGAAUGGAAGGGCCAUCGCUCAACGGAUAAAAGGUACUCCGGGGAUAACAGGCUGAUACCGCCCAAGAGUUCAUAUCGACGGCGGUGUUUGGCACCUCGAUGUCGGCUCAUCACAUCCUGGAGCUGAAGUAGGUCCCAAGGGUAUGGCUGUUCGCCAUUUAAAGUGGUACGCGAGCUGGGUUUAGAACGUCGUGAGACAGUUCGGUCCCUAUCUGCCGUGGGCGCUGGAGAACUGAGGGGGGCUGCUCCUAGUACGAGAGGACCGGAGUGGACGCAUCACUGGUGUUCGGGUUGUCAUGCCAAUGGCACUGCCCGGUAGCUAAAUGCGGAAGAGAUAAGUGCUGAAAGCAUCUUAGCACGAAACUUGCCCCGAGAUGAGUUCUCCCUGACUCCUUGAGAGUCCUGAAGGAACGUUGAAGACGACGACGUUGAUAGGCCGGGUGUGUAAGCGCAGCGAUGCGUU